rnacentral:rRNA from 1 species
UCAAGCGCGAGAAGGGCGUUUGGUGGAUGCCUUGGCAGUAAGAGGCGAUGAAGGACGUGAUACUCUGCGAUAAGCGACGGUAAGCCGAGAAUAGGCCGUGACCCGUCGAUUUCCGAAUGGGGCAACCCACUUGAAUGUUUGUUAUUGACAGCAUCGCUGUCACUAAUGAGCAUAACCAAGUACUUAUUACCUGAAUACAUAGGGUUUUAAGAGCAAACCCGGGGAACUGAAACAUCUAAGUACCCGGAGGAAAGGACAUCAAUUGAUACUCCCCUAGUAGCGGCGAGCGAACGGGGACCAGCCGAGCCGUAAAAGCGACCAGAACAUGCUGGAAAGCAUGACCAUAGUGGGUGACAGUCCCGUAUGGGAAGUUUGAGCGGACGUAUUAAGUAGGGCGGAACACGUGAAAUUCUGUCUGAAGAUCGGAGGACCACCUUCGAAGGCUAAGUACUCCUUACUGACCGAUAGCGAACCAGUACCGUGAGGGAAAGGUGAAAAGCACCCCGACGAGGGGAGUGAAACAGUUUCUGAAACCGGACGCCUACAAGCAGUUGGAGGGCCCUUGAGGCCUGACAGCGUACCUUUUGUAUAAUGGGUCAUCGACUUGGUCUCACUAGCAAGCUUAAGCCGAUAGGUGUAGGCGCAGCGAAAGCGAGUCUUAAUAGGGCGAUUGAGUUAGUGGGAUCAGACCCGAAACCGAGUGAUCUAGGCAUGACCAGGUUGAAGGUGCAGUAACAUGCACUGGAGGACCGAACCCACAUCUGUUGAAAAAGAUCGGGAUGAGUUGUGCCUAGGGGUGAAAGGCCAAUCAAACUCGGAGAUAGCUGGUUCUCUGCGAAAUCUAUUUAGGUAGAGCGUCAUCUGAAUACCCCGGGGGGUAGAGCACUGGAUGGGCAAUGGGGGCAUACAGCCUUACUGACCCUAACCAAACUCCGAAUACCCGGGAGUAAUGGAUGGCAGACACACUGCGAAUGCUAACGUCCGUAGUGGAGAGGGAAACAACCCUGACCUACAGUUAAGGCCCCUAAUUCAUGGCUAAGUGGGAAAGCAGGUGGGACGACCAAAACAACCAGGAGGUUGGCUUAGAAGCAGCCAUCCUUUAAAGAUAGCGUAACAGCUCACUGGUCUAGAUAAGUUGUCCUGCGGCGAAGAUGUAACGGGGCUCAAGCCAUGAGCCGAAACUUAGGAUGCACAUAGUGCAUGGUAGCAGAGCGUUCUGUGAUAUAGUUCCACGCCUUUUCUAUUUUAUGCGGUACCAACGCGCUCAAGCAGCGAAGCGGUAGCGCAAAGAUAGUGGAGGCAGGGAGCUUACUGUGAAGCCGGCGCGUGAGCGAUCCGGUGGAGUGAUCAGAAGUGAGAAUGAUGACAUGAGUAGCGACAAAGAGGGUGAGAGACCCUCUCGCCGAAAAUCCAAGGGUUCCUGCUUAAAGCUAAUCUGAGCAGGGUAAGCCGACCCCUAAGGCGAGGCCGAAAGGCGUAGUCGAUGGGAACCAGGUUAAUAUUCCUGGGCCAGGAAGAGGUGACGGAUCACAGAGGUAGUUCAUCCUUAUCGGAUUGAAUGGGCUGCUGAGUGGUUCCUGGAAAUAGCCCUUCCGUGAGAUCGUACCCUAAACCGACACAGGUGGAUAGGUAGAGAAUACCAAGGCGCUUGAGAGAACUAUGUUGAAGGAACUCGGCAAAAUACCUCCGUAAGUUCGCGAGAAGGAGGCCCGGUUUCUACGCAAGUGGGAGCUGGGGGCACAAACCAGGGGGUGGCGACUGUUUACUAAAAACACAGGGCUCUGCGAAGUCGUAAGACGACGUAUAGGGUCUGACGCCUGCCCGGUGCCUGAAGGUUAAAAGGAGGGGUGAGAGCUCUGAAUUGAAGCCCAGGUAAACGGCGGCCGUAACUAUAACGGUCCUAAGGUAGCGAAAUUCCUU